rnacentral:snoRNA from 1 species
AAAAUGAUACUUUAAGGGAUUAUUUAUAUAGUUUGUUACCAGAGAAGUCUCUCCGAUCAUGCAUAGCACCCGAAAACAUGAGGAGGAGACACAGAAUCCUCAGAAUCCUCUCCUAACAGUGAAGCCUGUUCUAGGUGUUGCUUUUGCAACUGCCUUUUCCCAUUGAUGAUUGUUCUUCUUUGAAAGAGUGAGAGGCAGAGGAUGCAGGCGGACAGA